UAUAGAUAUAGAUAUGGGAUAGUGGGCAGGGGUCUGUGAAGAGAGGGGUUGUGAGGGAGGAAAGAGCCCCUUCUGGAAAAGGCAGCUACCUUUGUGUGAAUUAUUAGAUGAGAAAACAAGUUGAACAAAAUCUGUUAACUCAGGAAAGGAGGGAGAGAGCGAAAGAAAGAGAAAGAGAGAAAAUGAGAAGGAAGGAGAAGAAAGACAGAGGAGAAGUGAAGGAGAAAGAAUGAGAGAAAAGUGGGGGAAGAGAGAAAGAAGGAAGGGCGAGGGAUGGGGAACGAGUGGCCAUGGUGGCACCUACUGGCAGCAAGGAAAGGCCCAGUCAAGCACUGCUGUGGAGGGAGGCAGGGAGGCAAGGGACGGGCCCAGGGCCUGUCAGAGGCCUGAGGGGAACGAGUGGCCCUGGCGGAGGCAGCAGCGAGGAAGGGUCCGGUCAACCGCUGCUGCUGCUCCUGUGGGGAGGAGCAGGAGCGCGGCUUGGGUGGGGAGGUCUCUAGGUAUAGGGGGCUGCAGUCACAAGCAAGGGGGUGAUGGGGAUGGAAGCAACCGGAUGGAGCAGGAGUGUGACUCAGGUAAUAAUUGAAGAGGAGACCUUUAUAACUAAAUAAUAGGCUGUCUUCCUCAAUAAUAUAUCACAGCAAUUCUGUCAGCUUACCUCAGAUCCAUGUGAGGAGGAUACUUGGGCUGGUGCAGCUGCUGUUGCCUGUCCACAUUGUUUAUCUGUUUGGGCAGCUUCUGAGAGUCCCCUAGCAGGUGAUUGUGGACGGGCAAAACUUCCCCUCAGAGGUGAUGGGGACCGCAUUGUAUUAGGAAUGGUUUCUGCCUUGACUCGCUGCAUGCCAGGCUGGUAGCCAGAAUAAUAUGAGUACUGCUGCCUGUUAUCUGCACCUUCAUGUAUGACUGGAAUGGGGAUGUAACCGGCACGAAGUUUUGGGUAUCCCAUGUUUCCUUCUCUGACUUGGGACUGCUUUGGACUAUUUCGAGAUGGACCAUUUGCUGAUGACUGAAUUUCCUAAACAAAUAAAAAUCAAGGUACAGGUUUAGAAUUUGGAAUCUAUACAAUUCUGAACAAGCAGCUGGCAAGCUCACUCAUCUAUACACCAGAAAAUAACACACCAUAUCUUAUGUUCCUAUUUGAACUCCUUUGCCUAAACAACCAAUCACAUUCUAACAUGAAGGAUAUCUACAACUACUGUUGCAAUACAGUUAAAUAUAUUCCGAGGAAAUGUUGACCCUGUUGGUCAGAAAGACAAAAUAUUUCACCGUGUCUCAAAUAGAUUCCCUUUCAGGACAAGCAUUUUUAACCAUAAUUGUGAAGUAACAGUAAGACUGUCAUUUGCAUGUUUUGACUAUAUUGUUAAUAGUGUGCUGUUAUAGAUAUAGAUAUAGAUAUAUAUCUAUUUCUAUUAUUUAUAACCCACCUUUUCUCUUGUCAUUCCAAGGUGGCUAUUUUACCUAUAAUUUGUAUUUUUUUAACCUCAUUAAUACAGUACCAUAACUAUCAA